GGGGCCGUAGCUCAGCUGGGAGAGCGCGUCGUUCGCAAUGACGAGGUCGUCGGUUCGAUCCCGAUCGGCUCCACCA
rnacentral:tRNA from 1 species